rnacentral:lncRNA from 1 species
CACCGCCCUCUCGACUUGGAAGCUGUCUCUCCGCGGGCCGGAGAAGCUCGUCUGUCAGCUCACGCUGGAAACUUGGGAACUAAGAGGAAACAGCUAUGAGCAGAGCAGGAUACCUCUCAUGGGCUUCUGUGACCUUUUACAUCCUGUCAGGAUCUUUCACACACUCUGGGGAUACAGGCAGAGCCUGUAACAGCAGGUACCAAAGAAUCACCAGGUUGGAAACUAUAUCCUUCUCCAGCAUUCCAGGAGCAGAGGGGAGAGCCCGGGUCGUGGACGUUGAAUCUGAAGCCGUGGGUGCUGGAGUGGGAGUGAGGUGUGGAGGGCGCAGACGCGGAUCGGAGGAGGAAGGAACCGCGGGGGAGGCAGGAAGUGAGGGUUGCGAGCGGUCACCACAAAGGGGCUCCAGUCUCGGCCGCCACACCCUCCACGAGGGGGCGGGGCAUGCAAAUUAUACUCGGCGUGCGCGCUCCGGAACGCCGGGAGAGCUGGGGUCGUGGACGUUGUAGCUGAAGCUGUGGGUGCUGGAGUGGGAGUGACGCAUGCAGGAUGCAAGACGCGGACGGGAGAAGGAAGGAGCUGCGGGGAAGGCAGGAAGUGAGGGUUGCGAGCGGUCACCACGAAGUUAAUGUGUCUCGCGGACGCAGAGCACGGCUGCAUGGUGUGUGCUAGGACUGCAUCACCAAUCCUCGCGCACGUGCAGCACGAUUUGACAGCACAGAGACAGUGUGGACAAAAGGGAAGUCAGGUAACAACCAGGGCAGAGGCGACAAGGUGUGGACAAGCAGCAGACAGUGGCAGGCAAACAGCAAUGGUAUAAGAAGCCACAGGGAUUUUAAAAGUCAAAGCCAUCAUCACCGUGUUGGAAUUUUAUUCACAGGCUCAAAGCAAUGGUUGGAGAAUGGCUGGAGCCUCAGUAUGGGUCACGGCAAGAAGUCAAAGGUGGGGCCGGCAAGGCGGCUCAACCAGUACAGAAGUUUGUCGCGAAGAUCGCUCAUCUAGAUACAACCACUGCGACCUCCCAUGGAAGGUGAGGACAAACACCGGAGCACUGUCCUCUGACCACCACAUGCUUGCUCUGUCACACAGGCAACUCAAGAAUACAUAACUGUGGCUGGGUUUGGUGGUGCAUACCUUUAAUCCCAGCACUUGGAAGGCAGAGGCAGGCGGAUCUCUGUGAGUUUGAGGCCAGCCAAAGCUACACAGUGAGACCCUAUCACAUAAAAAAAAAAUUUAAGGAGUGUUAAAAAUGUUUCUAAAGAAUAUGAACUAUAUUAGUAUUGGAGGCACCAGCAGUCAUGAUAUUCUGGCGCAGAUAAUCAUGGGAAUGGGUUGGGGUGAGUGCAGUCUUUCUAGUGUUAUAGGUGAUAAAACAAGACAUGAUACAGGAAGUGUGCACAUGCGCACACACCCACCACAACCACCCUAAGAGCUUUUGCUGCCCAGAGAAGUCCACUGGCCAUCAUAAGAAUAUGUGAUUAAACUAACUGAACAGCCAUUUAAAAAUUGCAUUUCUUUUAUACUUUAUGUGCUUGAGUACUUUGCCUGCACAUACAUAUGUGCACCACAUACCACGUGACUGGUGCCUGCUGAGAUAAUGUAUUAACGUUUUUGACAAUGUCAUGUAUGUACAUAAUUUUGGUCACUCUCGCCAUUACUGUCUCGCAUCUCUCCCCUACUUCCACUGAGCCUCCGCAAGCACCUUUUUUAUUUACAUAAAGGAAGGGAGGCUAUUGCCGCAAACAGAAACAACUGGGAAUGUUUGUUUUCCAUGACAAAAGUCAAGCUUGCAAGUGGAAAUGGAAUUCUGGGGAGGCUCAGGCUGCCAUGCUAAACUUUGAUUCAAGCAGCAGGUAGAGACAUAAAGAGAUGUGUCCUUUCAAAGUUACAGAACGAGCUGUGUCAACAUCUAGAUGCAAAGGAGCUCCUAAAGACAAUAAGUUAUGCUACAAGUUAAAUAGACCCAAGAUCCCAGUGUGACAGGAAGGCUCAAGUACAGAGCACAGAAAGUUCAUGACAUCAGGUUCGCUCUGACUUUAAAGAAAUUGUUGGGGUUGGGGUGUAGCUGAACUGGUGGGGUGCUUGUCUAGCAUGCACAAGGCCCAAAGGCAAUCUCUAACAGCAAAUAAAGCAGGUGUGGCGGCAGCAGCCUGUAACGCCAGCAGCAGCCUGUAACGCCAGCACAUAGGGCACCUAAGCAAGGGGGUCAGAAAUACAAGGCGCUCUGUUACAGAUCAAAUUCGGGACCAGCUCAGAGACAGGAGACCCGGUCUCACUGUGGCAGGGCAGCCUGUGCGGAGUUUGGAUCAAACCUUUACCUGCUGACGCAUCUUCCUGACACCUACAACUUUGGAAUUUGACUUUAGGUAGCCCUGGGUAGCCUGAAACUUUCUGUGUAGACCAGGCUGACCUCAACUCCACAGAGAUCUGUCUGUCUGCUUCUGUUUCCUGUGUACUAAGAUUAAAGGCAUAGGCCCAGCAAAAAUGGACUUUUAAAUAAAAUUGGUUCUCCUACCAAGAAAUAUAACAUGUAUUUAUUUAUUUAAAAUAUUUAUUGUUAUUAUGUCUAAGUGUGUGUAUGUGUGGUAGGAAUAUACAAGUGAAUGCGGGUGCUUGCAGAGGCUGGAGGUGUUGGAUCCCCAUGCAGUGGGAGACAUCUUUAUAGCCACUGGGGAUGGAACUCAGGUCCUCUGGAAGAGCACUUCCUGCUCAUAACUGCAGAGCCAUCUCUCCAGCCCCACGUGUCUUAUUUAUUCUGGGAUUUUUUUUUUUUUUUUCAUUCUUCAGUAAGAAACUUUCCCCAUCCUACCACCGUUAGAUCUAAGUUUACUCCUCAGUCAUUUGAAAAGCUAUUGAUUUUUAACAUACUUCAUUCCUCUGUGGAACUUCACGAGUCUGUCAUUAUCUGGCUUGCUUGGGGCUGCUGGAACCAACACUGCAGGUAAUAAAACUGUAGCUGCAAAGAGUUUCUCACUGAGCCUGGAACUCACUGUUUCACACAGGCUGGUCGGCCAUCGUGGGAGCGGCCCAGGACUGGAGUUACAGGGUGAAGCUACCAACUUUAUGAACGUCCAUUAGGCACUCGCACAGAGAUGGAGAGUGUUCCUGGUUACUGGGGUUGGGUCAGAGGAGGGGGACUGCACGCUGCUGAGAGAGCUUCUUGGGGAAUGACAGAAUAAUCAGAAAUUGGACAGUGGUGAUAGUUGGUAACUUUGAAUAUGAAAAUCAGUAAGUUGUAUUCUUCCAAGGGAUAAAUUUGGGGCUGAGGUCAUAGUGUACUGGCAGAGUAUGUGGUCAGCAUGCACAAGGUUUCGGGUUUGAUCGCUAGCAACACACACACAUACACACACACACACACACACACACACACACACACACAGUGAAUUUCAUGCUAAUAAUGCUAUUACUCAAACACAAAAAAGGUCAUCAGUAUGAAUACCUAGCCUCCCACGCCGGAAGUCCCUCUAAAGGGAGCGGGAGCAUAAAGGAAAGCUGUAUAAAUUAUGUAGCCAGAGAAUCUGAGAGUCUUGGUACUAAGUGGUUAGUAUACCUGAUCGCUUUAAAUAGGUUUGUUCAUAACCUGAUCCUUACCUUAUCUGGAGCAUAUUAUUGGAUAGCUAAUUUAAAUAUCCUAGAAAAAAAUACAUUAAAAAAAAAGUUCUCAGCAAUAUGAAAAAACCCAGAAGCAUACAAGACUGGUCCGCGCAUACAAGCAGGCGUGCGGAACCCCUGAAAAUGUGUCAAAUGCGCAACUGACAUACUGGCAGUUAAAAACUGGCAAUCAAACAUCACGGCACAUGGUACCCAGGUCACACAGCCUCUGUAAGUUCUAGCUUGGUCUCCCCAGAUUUCAUUCUCGUGGUGUGCUAAGUUGCCUGUCAGGGUGAGCUGGGACAGUCUCAGGCGCUCAGGCCCUUAGCCACAGCAGCUCUGCUCCCUACCCCAAGGCCCAGCACAAAGGACUUUCAAUGUAACCCUUCCUUCAUGACCUCCACAUGGGCAUCUCCCAGUGCCUGCGUGAAGAGCUGCACUCUGCCGUCUGCACCACACAUGGUGUGAAUGCCACAGGACUACGUAGAGCUUUGCAAGAGAUGGAGAGUGCCACAUUUCUUAAGGCAUACCUCUUGAGUGUGUCUGUGAAGAUGUUUCCUGAGAGAAUUCACUAGGGUUCACUGUGAGAAGGGGAGGGGGGUGGGGAGACCUAUCUGCCUUGAAGGUGGGCAGUGUCAUCCCAAGAGGUGAGGAUAAAGGACAAAGGAGCAGCUGGCUGAGUACCAGCAUCUUCUGAUCUCUGCUUCCUGGCUCACUGUGAUGGAUGCAAGUCCUCUGAAACCAGGAGCCCAAACAAACCCUUCCCCCACUAAGCCUUCUCUGCCAGGAAUUGUGGUUAGAGAGACAAAGAGUAACCGAUACUCUCCACAGCUGAAGGAAUCCUAGAUAAUACAUGAAGCUAGAAUGUUAUUAAAAUUUCCAUAGAGGAAGUCAACUUGUUACUAGUUAGAACUACAAUUCCUCAGGAAUUCUGUGUGUGUUUCAGAAACUCAGAGUUUCUGAUAUCUAAAUGAGUCCAGAUCUAUUUAAUUUUCUAAUUUAACAAAGAAGCUAUUUCCCACAGUGACAGCUAGAUUUGUAAUAUCUCAGUUACUUGGCAGAAAAGAUACAGGGCCUCCAGGUAAUAUGAAUUUCAGAUAAAUGACAAAAGUGUACACCUCCAGGAAACCUCAAGCCCACUGCCGGUGACACACCAUCUCCCAAGGCCACGCCCACUCCAAAGAGGCCACACCUCUGAAUUCUUCUCAAAUGGUUCCACUAACUGGGACUAAGCAUGCAAACAUAUGUGUCUGUGGGAGCCAUUCUCAUUCAAACCACUGUAUUCGGCCACCUCCACCUGCAUGGGCACUAUUAGCAACUAGGGAGAAGGCUCAGUAGGUGCAGUGCUUGCUGCAGGAGCUUGAGGACGUGAGCUUGGAUGCUCACACUUACACAGAAGUCAUGUAUGGGAGUGCAUGCUUGUAAUUCCAACAAGGGGGAGACAGAGACAGGAGGAUCCCUGGGAUCCACUGGCCAGCCAUUCCAGGCAAAUCAGAAAGCCAUGGUUCAGUGAGUAACUCUUUUCUCAAAGAAAUAUGGUGGAGAGGGAUUGGUGAAGACACCUGGUGUUGACCUCUGGCCUCUAGCAUACACAAUUUGUUUUUAAAGUUCAAAUAAAAGGAAAUGGGGUGGGGGAUGAAUAUGAUCAAAAUAUACAGUGUCUUAGGGAGUCAUUGCUUUGAACAGACACCAUGACCAAGGCAACUCAUAUAAGGACAACAUUUAAUUGCGGCCUGCUUACAGGUUCAGAGGUUUAGUCCAUUAUCAUCAUGACAGGAAGUGUGGCAGCAUCCGGGCAGACAUGGUGCCGAGAGUUCUACAUCUUGACCUAAAGAUCAAGCCUCUCUCUUCCGCACUGGGCAGAGCUUGAGCAUAGGACUGCAAAGCUCAACCUACCUACCCCUGCAGUGACAUUUACUCCAGCAAGGCCACACCUAGUCUAAAAAGGCCACACCUCCUAAAAGUGACACUUCCUGUGGGCCAAGCAUUCAAACGCAUGAGUCUAUGGGUGCCAAACCCAUUCAAACCACUACACACACUGCAUGAAAAUUUACAAGAAUUAAUAAGAUCAUUACUUAGAAAGGAAAUUAUUAGGGUUAUAAUUUAUUAAAAGGGUGAAUCAUUGAUUUAGUCCCCCCCCCCAAUUCAGAGAACAAAAUCCAAAGACACAGAAAGGA